UUUUAGGCCCUCGGGCUGCACGCUCCUAUCUGUCAUUUUUAAGAAGGACGUGUAACUUGCCUAGUGCAGUGUUAAUGAAAGCAGGCUUCUGCGCUCUAGUGUGCGAGUUUGGUUCAUAAAAAAGAUAGCGAGCUAGUGACAGUAUAAAACGAUCUGGGAUCAAGGGAAAUAUCAUGAAUAGAACAAUUCUACUUUCCCUUUUGAUGAUUGUGAUAAUUGUACUGAGCCUCACUGCCGAAUGCAGGGCGAGAGGAUGCAACUAUAGCUUCGGUAACAAAAGAGUAGCCGCUCGAAAGUGCAAGAAACACAAGAGAACAAAAGCCAGGUUUAACGAUGACCUUUCAAGCCUACAAGUCGAAAGGAAUUUAGAUAACAAAGGACGGCUCUACGACUUAUGGAAACUCUAUGAAACAGAGGCGAAAAAAGAGGAAUAAUUCAUUUCGAAAAAAACGUUUAUCGGCUUGUGUCUAUUACAACGUGCUUACUAUUUUCGAGUUUUAAAACUCACAUGAGGUCUCUAAACCACUUACCAUAUAAAUGGUGUUACAACACAUUUUCUGUUUAGCAUAUUGUAAACAAUCUGCUUCACAUUAAAUUGUCAUUCAUACCAAGUGGUAAAA